UGGUUCAAUGGUAGAAUUCCUGCCUUUCAUGUGGGAGAUCUGGGUUUAAUUCCCAG
rnacentral:tRNA from 1 species